rnacentral:rRNA from 1 species
CCUACGGGAGGCAGCAGUCGAGAAUCAUUCACAAUGGGGGAAACACUGAUGGGGCGACGCCGCGUGGGGGAAUGAAGGUCUUCGGAUUGUAAACCCCUGUCAUGUGGGAGCAAAUUAAAAAGAUAGUACCACAAGAGGAAGAGACGGCUAACGCUGUGCCAGCAGCCGGGGGAAUACCGAGGGCUCAAGCGUUGUUCGGAAUCACUGGGCGUAAAGCGUGCGUAGGCUGUUUCGUAAGUCGUGUGUGAAAGGCGCGGGCUCAACCCGCGGACGGCACAUGAUACUGCGAGACUAGAGUAAUGGAGGGGGAACCGGAAUUCUCGGUGUAGCCGUGAAAUGCGUAGAUAUCGAGAGGAACACUCGUGGCGAAGGCGGGUUCCUGGACAUUAACUGACGCUGAGGCACGAAGGCCAGGGGAGCGAAAGGGAUUGGAUACCCCAGUAGUC